AGCGAACGCUGGCGGCAGGCCUAACACAUGCAAGUCGAGCGCCCAGCAAUGGGAGCGGCAGACGGGUGAGUAACGCGUGGGGAUCUGCCCAAUGGUACGGAAUAACCCAGGGAAACUUGGAUUAAUACCGUAUGUGCCCUUCGGGGGAAAGAUUUAUCGCCAUUGGAUGAACCCGCGUCGGAUUAGCUAGUUGGUGAGGUAAAGGCUCACCAAGGCGACGAUCCGUAGCUGGUCUGAGAGGAUGAUCAGCCACACUGGGACUGAGACACGGCCCAGACUCCUGCGGGAGGCAGCAGUGGGGAAUAUCGGACAAUGGGCGCAAGCCUGAUCCAGCCAUGCCGCGUGAGUGAUGAAGGCCUUAGGGUUGUAAAGCUCUUUCGCCGGUGAAGAUAAUGACGGUAACCGGAGAAGAAGCCCCGGCUAACUUCGUGCCAGCCGCCGCUGUAAUAC
rnacentral:rRNA from 1 species